UGCCGGGUUGGGCAACUGUAGUGCCCUAAAAACCUUACUUAUUGUAAAUUCCAGUUUAACAGGUCAUAUUCCUUCCUCCUUUGGCCGCCUAAGGAAGCUUUCACAUAUUGAUCUCUCUAGAAAUCAACUGUCUGGGAAUAUACCUCCUGAAUUUGGGGCUUGCAAAUCCUUGAAAGAAUUGGAUUUGUACGAUAACCAACUCGAGGGACGUAUCCCUAGUGAACUGGGCUUGCUAAGUAGAUUAGAGGUCCUUCAAUUGUUUUCAAACCGGUUGACUGGUGAAAUUCCAAUUAGCAUCUGGAAGAUUGCAAGUCUCCAACAGAUUCUUGUGUAUGACAACAACCUUUUUGGGGAAUUACCCUUGAUAAUAACAGAACUCAGGCACCUCAAAAUCAUUUCUGUGUUCAACAAUCAUUUUUCUGGAGUCAUACCUCAAAGUUUGGGACUCAACAGUAGCUUAGUGCAGGUGGAGUUCACCAAUAAUCAGUUCACUGGUCAAAUUCCACCUAAUUUAUGCUCUGGAAAGACAUUAAGGGUGCUAAAUUUAGGUUUGAAUCAAUUUCAAGGAAAUGUACCUCUUGAUAUUGGAACUUGUUUGACUCUUCAGAGAUUAAUUUUAAGAAGGAAUAAUCUAGCAGGGGUUCUGCCAGAAUUUACGAUAAAUCACGGUCUUCGAUUCAUGGAUGCCAGUGAAAAUAACCUCAAUGGAACAAUUCCCUCAAGUUUGGGAAAUUGCAUCAAUCUUACCUCAAUUAAUCUUCAAAGCAACAGGCUUUCAGGCCUUAUACCUAAUGGAUUGAGAAAUCUUGAGAAUCUUCAAAGUUUGAUUUUGUCUCAUAACUUCUUGGAAGGACCUUUGCCAUCUUCCCUCUCAAAUUGCACGAAGCUGGAUAAAUUUGACGUAGGAUUUAAUUUAUUGAAUGGUUCUAUACCUCGUAGUUUAGCCAGCUGGAAAGUUAUAUCCACGUUUAUAAUUAAAGAGAAUCGAUUUGCUGGAGGUAUCCCGAAUGUAUUAUCAGAACUUGAAAGCCUUUCACUACUAGAUCUUGGUGGCAAUCUGUUUGGAGGUGAAAUCCCUUCAUCUAUUGGAAAUUUGAAGAGUCUGUUUUACUCCCUGAAUCUUAGUAACAAUGGGUUAAGUGGCACACUACCUUCUGAGCUGGCGAAUCUUGUCAAGUUACAGGAAUUAGAUAUAUCUCACAAUAAUUUGACUGGAAGUUUAACUGUCCUUGGCGAACUAAGUUCGACAUUAGUUGAGCUUAACAUUUCAUAUAAUUUUUUCACCGGUCCAGUGCCACAAACAUUAAUGAAGUUAUUGAAUUCUGAUCCCUCAUCGUUCUUAGGUAACCCUGGGUUGUGCAUUAGUUGUGAUGUACCAGAUGGUCUAAGUUGCAAUAGAAAUAUCAGUAUUAGUCCUUGUGCUGUUCAUUCAAGCGCCCGUGGUAGCUCUCGACUUGGAAAUGUACAGAUUGCAAUGAUAGCUCUGGGGUCUUCACUUUUUGUUAUUCUUUUGCUUCUUGGGUUGGUUUAUAAGUUUGUUUAUAACAGAAGAAACAAGCAAAACAUUGAGACUGCUGCUCAAGUCGGAACAACUUCCUUGCUCAACAAGGUAAUGGAGGCCACCGAUAAUUUAGAUGAACGUUUCGUCAUUGGAAGAGGAGCACAUGGAGUUGUUUAUAAGGUCUCCCUGGAUUCAAAUAAAGUUUUUGCUGUAAAGAAGCUUACAUUUUUAGGACAUAAAAGGGGAAGCCGGGAUAUGGUUAAAGAAAUUAGAACUGUCAGCAACAUCAAGCACCGGAACUUGAUCUCUUUGGAAAGUUUUUGGUUGGGAAAAGAUUAUGGUCUAUUGCUUUACAAAUACUAUCCAAAUGGGAGCCUUUAUGAUGUGUUGCACGAGAUGAAUACAACUCCAUCUCUCACAUGGAAAGCCCGCUAUAAUAUAGCGAUCGUAUUGCUCAUGCAUUGGCAUAUCUCCAUUACGAUUGUGAUCCUCCCAUUAUACACCGAGACAUCAAACCACAGAAUAUACUUCUAGAUUCGGAGAUGGAACCUCAUAUCGCCGACUUUGGUCUUGCAAAGCUAUUGGAUCAAACUUUCGAACCCGCGACUUCAUCUUCUUUUGCGGGUACAAUUGGCUACAUUGCACCAGGUAUCAUUCUACACAUAUAUUGCAAAUUAACUCUGCAUUCUCAUGUGUUUUUGUUUUGGGUGGAUUGAAUUGUGUUGUGAUAUGUUUAUGUGGUUGUGACAGAGAAUGCAUUUUCAGCAGCAAAGACCAAAGCCUCAGAUGUGUACAGUUAUGGGGUGGUUUUACUGGAGCUGGUGACGGGAAAGAAGCCAUCAGAUCCAUCAUUUAUAGAAGUCGGGAAUAUGACGGCUUGGAUUCGGUCGGUUUGGAAGGAGAGAGAUGAAAUAGAUAGAAUUGUUGAUCCAAGGCUUGAGGAAGAACUUGCUAAUUUGGAUCAUAGGGAGCAGAUGAAUCAGGUGGUUCUUGUGGCUUUGAGAUGCACAGAAAACGAGGCUAACAAAAGACCUAUAAUGAGAGAGAUUGUGGAUCACUUGAUUGAUUUAAAGAUCAGUCGUUAGAGCACACAUGACUAACCAUGCUUUUUCCUUCUACCCUAAACAUUUCUUACAAAUAACCGAAUGUGAUCGUUUAUUAUUAGGAUAGUAUAAUAGUGUCCAUCACUAUAUUUUUGUAUUUUUGUAUAUUGCUGGUCCGUAUAUAUUUAGUGUAUGUUUGAGAACGUUUUGAAGUAAUUUUGAAGGGUAUCAUGUUAAUCGAUCUAAUCUUUUAUUUUAUACUUUUGAAUGCAAUUUUUCUUACAUCAAAAUUGGUUUUAAAUGACAAUAAAACAUGUUUAAGAUGAUUUCAAAAAUGACAAAAAUGAUUUUAAUCAUUUUAAAUUAUUAUUUUUCUUUCCUCUCAUAUUCUAAUACAAGAAAGUAACAUUGAUCAUUUGAAUAAAAGUUUUUAAUUUCCUCCCAUAUUUAAUCUAGUUUUUUCUCUAGUGUUCAUUCAUUUUUGUGUAAAGAAAAUUUCAUAAAAGUGAGAGUAGAACGUAAUUAUAAUCGACUUUGAAUUUAGAAGUUAUAAUCGACUUUGAGUUUAGAAGUUUCAACUUCUCUACUUCACAUAUUAUACAAAGAAGUUAAAAGAAAAAAAAACUAUCAUUUAAUUUGAAUGCACCAAAAUGAACAUAAAUGAAUUGACAUAAUGUUUGUACUACCAACUUUGAAAUUAAAGAUUCAAUUUCUUCUCCACACAUAAUGUUUGUAUUACCAUAACUAGCAUUAAUCUAUUAUAAGAAAAAUAUAAUAAUAAUAACCAAAAGUCAUCAAAAGAAAAUAAUUUUGUUUCUAUUUAAAUAAAAAUAAGCAGGUAAUAAAUAAUAAAAUGAACAAAUAUAUUAGUCAUAUUUUUGAAAGGCAUACGAUAUAAACCAUUCAAUUCUUCAUAACAAAAUUUUGACUUUAUACCUAUACACAAAAUAAUUAUAUAUUGUAAUAAAAUCAACGUUUAAGCUUUGGUUUUCCUUUUCUAAAAUUGUCUCCCAAAUAAUUAUUUUAAAACAACUUUAAUUUUUAAAAAAUAUUUAGACAAUAAAAUAGAGACAAUAAAUAAAUAAAUAUAUAUAUAAAUUCUAACCGUGUUUAGGAUUGUUUUUUAAUAUAGCAAAAUAAACUAAAAUAUUUAUCAAAUAUAAUAAAAUUUCAUAAUUUGUCAAUGUCUAUCAUUAUUUAUCAUGAAUAGAUUUUGAAAUUUUACUAUAUUUUCAGAUAUCUUCAACGGUUUUAUCAUUUAAAAUAAUUUAAACUACGAAAGUUUAUUCUAGGGUGGGCUCAAAUUUUGAAUGUGUUAAAUCUAAAUUUGAAGAUUGGUAGAUAAAAUUGUUUAAAUUUGAAAGUUGAAAUGUUAGAAAAAAAAAUGGUUGAUUUGAUGGACAAAUGUGUUAGGAAUGAUGUGAACUGAAAAUGGUAUUAAUUUAAGAUUUUAGUUUAUAUAAUGCUGAGAUAUAAAUAAUUAUUUUUGAAAGGAUUUGUUUGAAAAUGAAAAAGGUUAGUACGAAACGUCAUGAGAGUGGAUGAUAAAACAAAAUUUCAAAUUUGUAGACUCAAACAGUUUCUUUUGAGUACAACAACUACAGAGGAGGAUUCCGACUUUCCAACCAUAUUAAUUACCGCUAACCUUAGAGUACCAAAAACUAACUUCACACCUUCAUCCAAGGGUUUGAUUUUGAGUUUCGGUGUUCCAUCCCAUCCUUAAACUUUCGAUUCUUCAACCUUUCGGUCCCUAAUUUCUUUCUCUAUAUCCUCCACUCUCGUCUCUGCUGCAAUUCAUGUGCCUUUUGUUGUUAUGCAGCUUCAUUCCCGCCAUUUCUUCCUGCUGGUAUGCUUCUCUUUCCAUCUCUAUGUUGUUUUUGCUUUAACCUCUGAUGGUUGGCUUUAUUAUCGCUCCAAAGCCGCUGGACUUCUCACACCCCUUUUAUCCCUCUUUGGAAUGCUUCUGAUUCCACUCCCUGUUCUUGGGCUGGGAUUGAAUGUGAUCAAAACCUUCGUGUCAUCACUUUCAAUCUCUCGUAUAAUGUUUCGGGUCCGCUUGGACCUGAAAUUGCACGUUUGACCCACUUGCGUACUAUUGCUUUGACCGCCAACCGUUUCUCUGGUGAAAUUCCUUAUGGGAUUGGUAACUGUAGCCAUUUAGAGUACUUGGAUCUCUCCUUCAACCAAUUUAGUGGACAAAUUCCUCAGUCAUUGACCCUCCUUACGAACUUGACGUUUUUGAACUUCCAUGACAAUGUUCUAACUGGUGCAAUACCCAACUCCUUAUUUCAGAAUCUUAAUUUGCUGUAUGUGUAUCUUGGUGAAAACAAUCUCAACGGUUCUAUCCCUUCAAAUGUGGGGAAUUCGAGUCAGCUGUUUCAUUUGUAUCUGUACGGAAAUGAGUUUUCUGGUUCCAUACCUUCUUCCAUAGGGAACUGUAGUCAAUUGGAGGAUCUUUAUUUGGAUGGGAACCAGUUAGUGGGAACAUUGCCCGAUAGUCUUAACAAUCUUGAUAAUCUUGUUAAUCUGGGUGUAAGCCGAAACAAUCUCCAGGGUCCAAUUCCUUUGGGUUCGGGAGGUUGUCAGAGUUUAGAAUAUAUAGAUUUGUCAUUCAAUGGUUAUACAGGAGGUAUACCUGCCGGGUUGGGCAACUGUAGUGCCCUAAGAACCUUACUUAUAAUAAAUUCCAGUUUAACAGGUCAUAUUCCUUCCUCCUUUGGCCGUCUAAGAAAGCUUUCACAUAUUGAUCUCUGUAGAAAUCAACUGUCUGGGAAUAUACCUCCUGAAUUUGGGGCUUGCAAAUCCUUGAAAGAAUUGAAUUUGUACGUCAACCAAUUUGAGGGACGUAUCCCUAGCGAACUGGGUUUGCUUAGUAAAUUAGAGGUCCUUCAAUUGU
rnacentral:lncRNA from 1 species